rnacentral:rRNA from 2 species
CCUGGACAAAGACUGACGCUCAGGUGCGAAAGCGUGGGGAGCAAACAGGAUUAGAUACCCUGGUAGUCCACGCCGUAAACGAUGUCUACUUGGAGGUUGUGCCCUUGAGGCGUGGCUUCCGGAGCUAACGCGUUAAGUAGACCGCCUGGGGAGUACGGCCGCAAGGUUAAAACUCAAAUGAAUUGACGGGGGCCCGCACAAGCGGUGGAGCAUGUGGUUUAAUUCGAUGCAACGCGAAGAACCUUACCUGGUCUUGACAUCCACAGAACUUUCCAGAGAUGGAUUGGUGCCUUCGGGAACUGUGAGACAGGUGCUGCAUGGCUGUCGUCAGCUCGUGUUGUGAAAUGUUGGGUUAAGUCCCGCAACGAGCGCAAC